rnacentral:misc_RNA from 1 species
AAACCACAUGAAAUAGUAAAAAAGUGUAAAAAAAUUAUGUUUAUAGCCAUCAUGCUAUUGCCUCAUCUGUUCCUAUUGCAGUCCUACCAUAAGACCCUUAAAUACAACUUAAAUUGGUGUCAAAAGAUGAGCAAAUCUAAAGGCAAAGCUUGUGGAGAAAGCAUGGACGAAAACAAAAGAAAACCAACAGGGCAAAACAGGGGAAAAACAAAAAAGAAAACCAACAGGGCAAAACAGGGGAAAAACAA